rnacentral:rRNA from 1 species
CCUACGGGCGGCAGCAGUGGGGAAUAUUGGACAAUGGGGGGAACCCUGAUCCAGCCAUGCCGCGUGUGUGAAGAAGGCCCUCGGGUUGUAAAGCACUUUCAGUGAGGAAGAACGCCUGGUGGUUAAUACCCAUCAGGAAAGACAUCACUCACAGAAGAAGCACCGGCUAACUCCGUGCCAGCAGCCGCGGUAAUACGGAGGGUGCGAGCGUUAAUCGGAAUUACUGGGCGUAAAGCGCGCGUAGGUGGCUUGAUAAGCCGGUUGUGAAAGCCCCGGGCUCAACCUGGGAACGGCAUCCGGAACUGUCAAGCUAGAGUGCAGGAGAGGAAGGUAGAAUUCCCGGUGUAGCGGUGAAAUGCGUUGAGAUCGGGAGGAAUACCAGUGGCGAAGGCGGCCUUCUGGACUGACACUGCCACUGAGGUGCGAAAGCGUGGGUAGCAAACAGGAUUAGAUACCCUGGUAGUC